UGAGGGACCGAGGGUGGCCGUGACUAGUGAGACUUGAGAGGCCACCUCAACGAAGGAGAGGGAUCGCGUGGAAUACGAGCUGCAGCCUACAAGCCUCCAAUACAUCAGCUGCCAGAAGCAAAGAGAUAUUAAGAAGGAAAAGAUUGGAUCAAAAUUUUACAUUUACAACUUUUUUUCGCAUAACUACUGAUAAUUUGAUGGAAGGCUUGGUGAGUUCACAGGCGGCACCAAUCGGUGCUCAUUGUAGGCAACAUAGCUCUCCGUUCCUUCCUGCAUUUCCCCAUCGAUUUUGAAGAAAAUUGAAUAUCAGUCACAUCCGGAUAAACAAAUCUCCUAAAUCAUUGAAAUCAAUAGCUGCUUCAGUUCAACCAUUGGAAGCCUCAAAAUUGGGACACUUCAACAACACUGCCAUCCAAAGACGUUCUUGAGUUAUGGAGAAAUGCCAAUGCGUGUGCUUUGAUGUGGAUAGCACGGUGUGCCUGGAUGAGGGCAUCGAUGAACUUGCAGAAUUUUGUUGAGCUGGAAAGGCUGUUGCAGAAUGGACUUCUAGAGCAAUGAGUGGUUCUGUUCCUUUUGAGGAGGCCUUGGCUGCCAGGCUAUCUUUGUUCAAUCCUUCCUUUUCUCAAGUCCGGGACUUUCUUGAAAAGAAGCCCCCAAGAAGAGUUAGUCAAGAAGCUGAAGGCUAAUAAUACCACCGUUACCUGAUCUCUGGAGGCUUUCGUCAAAUGAUAUGCUGUCAAUAAUGGAAUAGCCUGUAGCGACGAUCCUUGGGGUUUCACCUGAAAACAUUUUUGCUAAUCAACUGCCAUUUGGAAGUGAUGGAGACUUUAUGGGGUUUGACACGAAGGAGCCCACUUCAAGAAGUGGGGGAAAAGCUACUGCAGUCCAACAGAUAAGAAAGGCUCAUGGGUACAAGGAAUUGGUAAUGAUUGGGGAUGGGGCAACUGAUCUUGAGCGAAGAUUCCACAUGGGCAAACUUUUGUGGUCAUCCUUGGCAUCAGCGUUGUUCGGUUUUCGAGACUUUCAUCUUCUUCUGUGGCUGAAACUUUGAAGAAAUUUCAAGAAGCCAAAUGAAAAGAAGCAGACACACGCAGCUCCGAGGUGACAAGUCCCAGAACAGCAAUUGUCUGUUGUACAAAUAUUGCAGUGAAAGUUACCGAACCCUACUUCUGCAAGAAUCUUGAAAAUAUGUAUAUUGCUUGUGAAAAUAAUUGCCUUGCUUGUGGUUGUGGGCCUCUGAAAUGUAAUGGUAUGUUGCAUUAUAACUCUAGUAAUAGCUAUCUAGGUACUGGAUAUGCAAAUUAUUUUCCAAUGGGCCUCUUUCCAUUGUCCCCCACCCUCACCCCCGCAUAGGGAACCAUGGUGAAGGGAAUCAAAAUUUUUGUCAGUGUGGUCACAUCUGUUAUCCUUUUUAGAACCUUUCAGCUGAUGAACGACU